rnacentral:rRNA from 1 species
UUCCAGACUCCUACGGGAGGCAGCAGUGGGGGAUAUUGCACAAUGGGGGGAACCCUGAUGCAGCGACGCCGCGUGGGUGAAGAAGCGCCUCGGCGCGUAAAGCCCUGUCAGCAGGGAAGAAAAUGACGGUACCUGAAGAAGAAGCCCCGGCUAACUACGUGCCAGCAGCCGCGGUAAUACGUAGGGGGCAAGCGUUAUCCGGAUUUACUGGGUGUAAAGGGAGCGUAGACGGAUGGAUAAGUCUGAAGUGAAAGCCCGCGGCUCAACUGCGGGACUGCUUUGGAAACUGUGCAUCUUGAGUACGGGAGGGGCAGGCGGAAUUCCUGGUGUAGCGGUGAAAUGCGUAGAUAUCAGGAGGAACACCGGCGGCGAAGGCGGCCUGCUGGACCGAAACUGACGUUGAGGCUCGAAAGCGUGGGGGGCAAACAGGAUUAGAUACCCCAGUA